GAGGCCGGCGGGCGCCCGCGAAUUCCCGCAGGGAGCGGGGUGAGGAGCUAGCGGUUGGGUCUCCGGGCGCGUGCUCCCCCGCCCGGUGAGGGUGAACUAACGGAGAUGGGCGGGCCGGCGCGCCGGGUUAGCAGGCGUUUAUCCUGUACGGCCGCAGCAGUCAGCGCCCCUCACCAGCACGAGCCCCGCCUGCAGAGCCCUAGGCGGCGUCCAGCAGGAGGCCUCCCGCGGGAACUGUCACUCCGCCAAACAAGAGAGAUAAACAAGCAAAAGUCUAGAAACAAGCCAGCUGUCCAUCUACAGUGGAAAGCGUAAACAAACUGUGAUGUGUUCGCGUACUGGAAUUUUACCCUGGCGUGAAAAAUCCACGAACCACAGCUGCAAGCAACAAUAUGGCUUGACCCCUUGCUAAAGGGAGCAUCUUAGAGUGGAGUCAACACCAAGCAAGGAUUCUGGAAACCAGGUUCCAGCUCUGCCAGGUGUGGCCUUUUGGGCCUCGCUUCAGUUACUGAUGCCUAAGGUCCUUUCAAAACUCUGUUUAUGGCCUUAAAAGUUCAUUUGGAAACUUUCCACACAACCCUGUGUUUCUGCUGGAGCUUUCAUGGGUCAGAGGAAGAAGAGAACGGUCAUCGGUUGCUUGGCUCCAAACCCGAGCGUCAUUCUGAAUUCCACGCCGCCCCUUGCACCCCAAAGCCCACCCAUCACCAAGGAUUGUCGCCUCUCCCACCAAAGCACGUCUCAGGUCAGCCACUUCUCACACCCCCGCUGCUAUCUCCUGGCCAGAGCCACCCCGUCCCUCAAGUGGCCUCUGAGCCAUCUCCCCACAUCCCCUCUUCCCAGCCUGCCCCCCACCAGUCCAGCCCAAGAGAUAAGCACGGAAGUCAGACUUCUCCCUCCCCUGUCCCCUCCCCGAGCUUCCCAUCUUGCUCAGACUCAAACACUAACCUCUCACGGAGACCUGCAGGGACCCCGGACCCCGCCCCGCCCACCUCCUCAGCCUCCUACCACUGCCCCAUUGCCUGUGCCCUUCCGUCCGCUUGGCCCAGAAUGCGCUUCCCCUGGGUCACAACUGCCCCCUUGUCACUUACACUGCAGCAUGAAUGUUAUCAACGCGGAGAGGCCAUCAGAGACCAACCCAGGUGCUUGCUCAGUUCACCUUGUUUUAUUUUCCUCAAAA